AUGCCCUCUUUAACUAAUUUAACCCAAAUUUAAAAUAAAUAAAUAAAUAAACCCGGACCACAAAUUUUCACAUUAAUGGGCAGUUGCCAAUAUUUAAUGGGAAUUAAAUUGGUCAUUAAAUGUAAAUAUCAUGUUAAACUAACAAUGUCAACAAUUGAAUGAACACUUUUACUUUGCCAGCAAAUUUCUUGUGAUUCUUCUUCCUAUUACAGUCAAUACCUUUUAUUGCUAGAUAUCCAAACACUGAUAAAUCUUUAAUACAGUUCAUCUCAUUUUCUUGUAGCUUAUGUAAUUCUACUAUUUCUCUAGUUGGGUACUCAUAAUUCAAUUCUCGGAAUUAAAUAACACCCCCUCGUCGUUUUACAUCUCCAAUAUUUUUCCGGUUCUAUAUAUAACCCGUUUUUAACAAGCAUGAAAAGGUAACAUCAGUGAAACAAAAUAAAAAGACAACUCUCGAGUACUAUAUAGUUUCUUGUCUGUCUCUUAAAAGAAAAUGAAUUACAAGGAUGAGAGCCCGAAACUUGAGUUGCAACUGAGGCUAUCCCCGCCGAGGGAUCAUCAGCGGCAAAUGAUUCAGUCGCCGGAGUAUUCUUCGACGGAGAUAUCUCCGAGAAGCUCGUGUGUGUCACGAGAAGCGAGCCCAGAUGGGACCGUGUGCUUUGAGAGUGGUACCAUGAUACUUGUGGGGUGCCCUCGAUGCCUGAUGUAUGUUAUGUUAUUCGAAGAUGAUCCGAAAUGCCCCAAGUGUAAGAGCACCGUUUUGCUUGAUUUCAUGCACGAUGAGACGAUCAGAGGAUUCAAGAAAUGAAAACUGCAUAAUCUUGAUUUAUUUGAUUUUCCUUUGAAUUCUUGGGUUUCUUUCACCAUUUAUUUUUCUUCUGCUUAUUUAAAUCCUUUUUGUGGUUUCUUUGGUCUGAUAUUCUGUUUGCUGUUGUGGGUUUUUGAGAGUUUUUAUUUAUUUAUUUAUUAUUAUUUUUAUUUUUUUUAUUCAAGAGUUUGCCUUGGAUGA